rnacentral:rRNA from 1 species
GACGAACGCUGGCGGCGUGCCUAACACAUGCAAGUCGAACGAAGAAUGUUUUUCGGAAUAUUCUUAGUGGCGGACGGGUGAGUAACGCGUGAACAAUCUGCCCCGUACAAAGGGAUAGCCUCGGGAAACCGGGAUUAAAACCAUAUAACACUUAACUGCCGCAUGGUAGUGAAGUCAAAUCGAUUAAGAGGUAUGGGAUGAGUUCGCGUCUGAUUAGCUAGUUGGUGAGGUAAGGGCUCACCAAGGCGACGAUCAGUAGCCGGCCUGAGAGGGUGAACGGCCACACUGGAACUGAGACACGGUCCAGACUCCUACGGGAGGCAGCAGUGGGGAAUAUUGCACAAUGGAGGGAACUCUGAUGCAGCGACGCCGCGUGAGUGAAGAAGGUCUUCGGAUCGUAAAACUCUGUCCUUGGUGAAGAAAGGACGGUAGCCAAGGAGGAAGCCCCGGCUAACUACGUGCCAGCAGCCGACGGUAAACAUACUCGUA